rnacentral:rRNA from 1 species
UACAGAGGGGGCAAGCGUUAUUCGGAAUUAUUGGGCGUAAAGCGCGCGUAGGCGGCUCGGUCAGUCGGGUGUGAAAUCCCCGGGCUCAACCUGGGAACUGCAUUCGAGACUGCCUUGCUCGAGUAUGGGAGAGGGAAGUGGAAUUUCCGGUGUAGCGGUGAAAUGCGUAGAUAUCGGAAGGAACAUCAGUGGCGAAGGCGACUUCCUGGACCAAUACUGACACUCAGGUGCGAAAGCGUGGGGAGCAAACAGGG